rnacentral:rRNA from 1 species
UACGAAGGGUGCAAGCGUUAAUCGGAAUUACUGGGCGUAAAGCGUGCGUAGGUGGUCUUUUAAGUCCGUUGUGAAAGCCCUGGGCUCAACCUGGGAAUGGCAGUGGAUACUGCGGGCUAGAGUGCAGAAGGGGCAACUGGAAUUCUCGGUGUAGCGGUGAAAUGCGUAGAUAUCGAGAGGAACACCUGCGGCGAAGGCGGGUUGCUGGGCUGACACUGACGCUGAACUGCGAAAGCUAGGGGAGCGAACGGG